rnacentral:rRNA from 1 species
GGCUCAGGAUGAACGCUGGCGGCGUGCCUAAUACAUGCAAGUCGAACGGGGGCAGUAGCGAUACUGUCCUAGUGGCGAACGGGUGAGUAACGCGUUGGUGACCUGCCCCAGAGAGGGGGAUAACAGACCGAAAGGUCUGCUAAUACCGCAUAAAUUCUCAGCAGUUAGAGGGGUUGAGAAGAAAGCCGAAAGGCGCUUCUGGGAGGGGCCUGCGUCCCAUCAGCUAGUUGGUAGGGUAACGGCCUACCAAGGCGAAGACGGGUAGGGGACCUGAGAGGGUGGCCCCCCACAAUGGAACUGAAACACGGUCCAUACACCUACGGGUGGCAGCAGUAGGGGAUAUUGGUAAAUGGGCGAAAGCCUGACCCAGCAACGCCGCGUGCGCGAAGAAGGCCUUCGGGUUGUAAAGCGCUUUUCUGAGGGAUGAGGAAGGACAGUACCUGAGGAAUAAGUCUCGGCUAACUACGUGCCAGCAGCCGCGGUAAGACGUAGGAGACGAGCGUUAUCCGGAUUUACUGGGCGUAAAGCGCGUGCAGGCGGCUCGUUAAGUUGGAUGUGAAAGCCCCUGGCUAAACUAGGGGAGGUCGUUCAAGACUGGCGGGCUAGAGUGCAGCAGAGGAGAGUGGAAUUCCGAGUGUAGCGGUAAAAUGCACAGAUAUUCGGAAGAACACCAGAGGCGAAGGCGGCUCUCUGGGCUGCAACUGACGCUCAGACGCGAAAGCUAGGGGAGCGAACGGGAUUAGAGACCCCGGUAGUCCUAGCCGUAAACGAUGUGGACUUGGCGUGGGGAGGGUAAAGCCUGUCCGUGCCGAAGCAAACGCGAUAAGUCCACCGCCUGGGGACUACGGCCGCAAGGUUAAAACUCAAAG